rnacentral:rRNA from 1 species
CCUACGGGGUGCAGCAGUGAGGAAUAUUGGUCAAUGGGCGGAAGCCUGAACCAGCCAAGUAGCGUGCAGGAUGACGGCCCUACGGGUUGUAAACUGCUUUUAUACGGGAAUAACGCGCCUUACGUGUAGGGCUUUGCAUGUACCGUAUGAAUAAGGACCGGCUAAUUCCGUGCCUGCAGCCGCGGUAAUACGGAUGGUCCGGGCGUUAUCCGGCUUUAUUGGGUUUAAAGGGUGCGCAGGCGGUCUGUUAAGUCCGCGGUAAAAGCCCGGGGCCAAACCCCGGCCCGACGUUGAAACUGGCAGUCUCGAGUGGGAGAGAAGUAGGCGGAAUGCGCGGUGUAGCGGUGAAAUGCAUAGAUAUCGCGCAGAACUCCGAUUGCGAAGGCAGCAUGCCGGCUCCAAACUGACGCUGAGGCACGAAAGCGUGGGUAUCGAACAGGAUUAGAUACCCCUGUAGUC